CAGCAACCUGGAAAACACCAGCAUAAGUCUACUGUGAGCAGUCUGGUUCUCUUCACCUUUAGGUCAAAAACAUUUGAUACAAAUGCAGACUUUGUUUUAAAAAAUGCACAAUAUGGUGGAAGAAAAAGAUUGCACCAAAGCAUUCUAAUAUUUUUAUGCCCCCAAAUAAUGAAGUUAACCUCAUGCAAUGUAUUAGCAUUUCCAAUGAUUAAGAAUAUGUUUGUGCAUGCAACUACUCUACAUGGUUUCUUAACCUACCUAAUCUGGAUGUGCAGCCAUUGGAGCUACAGUGCAGUAAAAGGUUGUGGGCUGAAUUCUUCCUCAAGGAAGCCAAUAGAAGAGAUGCAAGUGAACCUUUCUUGUAUUGUGCAGCUGUAGCGGAGCAGAACUCUAUAAUAAGGUUGUGGUAUUGACCAGGAGAGAGGUGUUGCCAUUGCACUGACACAUCACCUCCUUCAGCUGCCUCCUGAUGGCAGAACAUCAGUGAAGCUCUGAUGGGAAUUAAAUCUGCUCCCUCCUACAGAACCUGUGAAGAACCUGAGUGGGGGCAGCAAUGGAGAUUAACCUCCUUUGCAGUAAAAUCACCUCCCAUCCCAGACACCCCACAUGGUACAGGAAUACUUCCCUAUGCCAAUAUUAAUGAAAAUGACCUUUUAAAGGUCACAACUUGUCUCUGGGGGAAAGGGUAUUUAUUUUUGUCCUUGACUCAUUAUUGUAACAGAUGUACAGAUGUUUCUUCUUUGGACUUUAUUUUCCAGAUUGCCAAGGGAGAAUGUGGAAUCUCCAUCACUGGAAGUUUUUAAGAGCAGGUGAAACUAAAAUUUGGAUGUGAUGGUUUAGACUGGAAUGAUCCUGCCUUGAGUUGAGGGGGAGUUCAACUAGAUGACUUCCUGAGGCACCCUCUAUUCCUGCUCCCUGUGAUCAGGCAGGGGGCAGAUAGGAGGUGAGGCCACUGCUCUUCCCACAAUCAAACACUAACCAACAUGGAGGAAGUGGGAUGUUGAGAACAUAGCCUCUCUGUACUCCAGUGCCUUUUCAAAGACGCAUAAUGUAUCCUGGUGAUCCCAGAGGGUGAGAAAGCUGUGUCUGCAAUCCCAGGGCCAUGCCCAAAUUGGCAUGAUCAGCUGCUGAGUAUGAAGUGAGAAGGUGUUCUGUUUCAGAGAUGGAACACAGAAACAAGGAACUUCAUUUCUGCACUCAGUUCAGUAACACUCAGUUAACCGAGUGGAAGAAAGGACAGAGAUAUCCUAAGAGCUGUAAGUAUUUUGCCGCAUUUUUACCUGAACCUAAGUGACUAAAGAACCCAUUCUCUCUUCUCCAUGUGUAACUCAUACACAGUAGCAGAGAUGUCAUAAAUUGAAACUUUAGAUGCUUCCGUUGCCAUUUUGGCCAAGUUCUCUUUGACAGAAGCAGGUAGGGACAAAGGUGGCUUUAAGCCCAUACCCCUAUGAUUAGUCUCUGAAGUAAAAAUAGAUACGUAAGUUUGCUGUAACACUCACUUGGCUGUUUUGUUUCCAGAAAACCAUGGCAUAAGUUGAAAAUAGCUGAGCUUUUAUUAUUAUUAAUCAUGUUUAUUAUGAUAAUGCCUAUCCAAGAAUGGUGCAGGCACUGUACAAACAGAGUACCAGACAGUCACAGCCAUUAUAAAAGAUGUAGUCUGAAUAGACCAGGUAGAUAAAGAGGGGUGGAACAGAGCAGGACAUACGAGCAGUGUGAAGAGAAAAUGGGUAUGUUAUUACCACAGUUGGGGAGGGAGAGGGGAAUGGCUUUGGGGUUUUUUUUAAGGUGGGUUCAGUGAGGAGGGGAUAAACUAAAAAGAAAAGUAAAGGGAGAGGGAACAGUAAAGGGAAAGGAUGAGAAGGACAGGGCAGGGGAGAAGCUCUGGCCCCAAGGCUGUGCCUCCAAUACACCUCCCUAUCAGGACAUUGCAAAGGAAGGUUGCAAUGUUGCCAUCCAGGAACCCCUAUACACAAACAGUUCAUCAAGUACCUGUGCUUCUGGGUUUACAGCCUCACUGCACCCCCAUAAAGGUGUAAAGAGCCAUAGGACAAAAGCAAAUCAGACCUAAAAUGAUUCCCAAGAAUUCUUCUGCCACCGUGAUAGUUCUUGACUCGGAUGUCUGGCCCCACCAGCUCCCACUGGAGAAUAUGCUUCCUGCAGGACCCUGCUUCCAGGACACAGCCUUGUAGGUGACUUGGGGAUCCUGAGGAGCUUGACAGGGCAGCAGUGCUUCUUCACCACAUGUCAUCACAAUCUCUGAA